AUUGAACGCUGGCGGCAUGCCUAACACAUGCAAGUCGAACGCGUGGCGGACGGGUGAGUAAUGUCUGGGAACCUGCCCGAUGGAGGGGGUUAACUCCUGGAACCGGUAGCUAAUACCGCAUACCAUCGUAUGUGCCCAGAUGGGAUUAUCUAGUAGGUGGGGUAACGGCUAACCUGGGCAACGAUCCCUAGCUGGUCUGCGAGGGUGACCAGCCACACUGGAACUGAGACACGGUCCAGACUCCUACGGGAGGCAGCAGUGGGGAAUAUUGCGCAAUGGGCGCAAGCCUGAUGCAGCAAUGCCGCGUGAAUGAAGAAGGCCUUCGGGUCGUAAAGCACUGUUAGCGAGGAGGCGGUACCGAAAGAAAAAGCACCGGCUAACUACGUGCCAGCAGCCGCGGUAAUUC
rnacentral:rRNA from 1 species